rnacentral:rRNA from 1 species
CCUACGGGAGGCAGCAGUAGGGAAUAUUGGGCAAUGGGGGCAACUCUGACCCAGCCAUGCCGCGUGCAGGAAGACGGCGUUAUGCGUUGUAAACUGCUUUUAUAUAGGAAGAAAUAGUCCUUGCGAGGAAAGUUGACGGUACUAUAUGAAUAAGCACCGGCUAACUCCGUGCCAGCAGCCGCGGUAAUACGGAGGGUGCAAGCGUUGUCCGGAUUUAUUGGGUUUAAAGGGUGCGUAGGCGGUUUAUUAAGUCAGUGGUGAAAGACGGUCGCUCAACGAUUGCAGUGCCAUUGAUACUGGUAGACUUGAGUGGGAUUGAGGUAGCUGGAAUGGAUAGUGUAGCGGUGAAAUGCAUAGAUAUUAUCCAGAACACCAAUUGCGUAGGCAAGUUACUAAGUCUCAACUGACGCUGAGGCACGAAAGUGUGGGUAUCAAACAGGAUUAGAUACCCUGGUAGUCCACACUGUAAACGAUGAUAACUACUGUUGGUCUUUCGGGUCAGUGGUACAGAGAAUCGUUAAGUUAUCCUACCGUCGGAGGUACGGCCGGCGACGGUACGAACGACGAAGAAGUAGUACGGCGUGAGACGUGACCGACGGACGACGACGAGGGAGGAGG